GAGUAGGCACACGGGGGAUGCCUGGGCGUCCAGUGCCGAUGAAGGACGUGGUACACUGCGUUAAGCGCCGGUCAGCCGUGUGCAGGCGUGAUCAGCCGGCGAUGUCCGAAUGGGGAAACCCAGCAGGGUCAACUCCUGCUACUGCUCAUUGUGUGAGCAGAGGGAACCGGGUGAACUGAAACAUCUCAGUAGCCCGAGGAAAAGAAACGAUUCCGCCAGUAGUGGCGAGCGAACGCGGAACAGCCCAAACCAGCGGUCAGGUACCGCUGGGGUUGUAGGCCUCCCGGAAGCUGCUGAAAUCUGAGCCGAAGGCGGUGGGAAACGCGACUGAAAAGGGUGAUAGUCCCGUAGGCGAAGGGGGACAGCGGCGGGGAGCAGCCUGAGUACCACAGCGCACGCUAACGCGGUGGGAAGCAGGGGGGUCCACCCUCCAAGGCUAAAUACACUGGACGACCGAUAGCGCAACAGUACCGUGAGGGAAAGGUGAAAAGAACCCCGGCGAGGGGAGUGAAACAGACUCUGAAACCGUGUGCUGACAGACGGUCAGAGAGGGAGCAAUCCCUUGAUGGCGUGCCUUUUGGAGCAUGAGCCAGCGAGUCAAUCGGUGUGGCUAGCCGAAGGGAGCGACACCCACAGGCGCAGCGAAAGCGAGUCUGAACAGGGCGCGCAGUGGCAUCGAUUGGACACGAAACCAGGUGAGCUAACCAUGACCAGGGUGAAAGUCCGGUGACACGGACGGGAGGCCCGAACCCAUUUGGAUUGCAAACCAUUGGGACGAGUUGUGGUUAGGGGUGAUAUGCCAAACGAACCUGGAGAUAGCUUGUUCUCUCCGAAAUCGCUUUAGGGCGAGCGUUCGGCGAUGACGGCAGGAGGUAGAGCGCUGCUUGGGCUAGGGGGCGUUAGCUUACCGAACCCAGGCAAACUGCGAAUGCCUGCCGGGGAGCCGGGCAGUUGGGCGUCGGGAGAUGAGUUUCGGCGUCGAAAGGGAAACAACCCAGACCCGCGACUAAGGUCCUCAAGUCUCGGCUGAGUGGGAAACGAUGUGCGCGUGUGCAGACAGCCAGGAGGUUGGCUUAGAAGCAGCCACCCUUGAAAGAGUGCGUAACAGCUCACUGGUCGAACGCGCGUGCGCGGAAAAUGGAACGGGGCUGAAGCCGAGCACCGAAGUCAGGGACUGGCUGGACGGAAGUUCAGUCAGUGGUAGGAGAGCGUCGCGCCAGCGGAGAAGGCUCAGGGGCAACCUGAGUUGGAGUGGGCGCGAGUGAGAAUGCUGGCAUGAGUAGCGCAAUUCCAGUGAGAACCUGGAACGCCGAAAGUCGAAGGGUUCCGACGGAAGGUCAGUCCGCGUCGGGUUAGUCGGGCCUAAGCCGCAGCCGGAAGGCGGAAGGCGAUGGACAACCGGUGAACAUUCCGGUACCGCGUGUGGGAGGGAUGACGACAGCCCUGGGAAGGCACAGCCUGUGACUGGAAGCAGGUGGCAAGCGGGUAACGCCCGUGAUGCCGGCGCGCAAGCGCGGAAGUGUGCGGGACCUGGGGACAAGAAAAGGCGUCAUCGCGAUGAAAGCACGUGCCCGUACCCCAAACCGACACAGGUGGACAAGUAGAGAAUACAUAGGCGAACGGGAGAACCCUCGUUAAGGAACUCGGCAAAAAGACCCCGUAACUUCGGGAGAAGGGGUGCCGCCGCGAGGCGGUUGCAGUGAAAAGGCUCUGCCGACUGUUUACCAGAAACACAGGUCUCUGCUAACGCGAAAGCGGAAGUAUAGGGGCUGACGCCUGCCCAGUGCCGGAAGGUUAAGAGGAGGGGUGAUAAGCUCUGAAUUGAAGCCCCGGUGAACGGCGGCCGUAACUAUAACGGUCCUAAGGUAGCGAAAUUCCUUGUCGGGUAAGUUCCGACCCGCACGAAAGGCGUAACGAGUGGAGCACUGUCUCAACGAGGGACCCGGCGAAAUUGAAGUACGUGUGAAGAUGCGCGUGACCCGCAGCUGGACAAAAAGACCCCGUGGAGCUUGACUGUAGCCUGUCAUGGCGUUAGGGGGCAGACUGUGUAGGAUAGCUGGGAGGCAGGGAAGCCGGAGCGCCAGCUUCGGUGGAGCCGACGGUGAAAUACCAGCCUGUCUGUGCCUUGACCCUAACCUGGCGGAAGCUGGGGACAGUGGCAGGUGGGCAGUUUGACUGGGGCGGUCGCCUCCAAAAAGGUAACGGAGGCGUUCAAAGGUGGGCUCAGGCUGAAUGGAAACCAGCCAGAGAGUGCAAAGGCAGAAGCCCGCUUGACUGCGAGGGGAACAGCCCGAGCAGAGACGAAAGUCGGACUUAGUGAUCCUACGGCGCUGAGUGGAAAGGCCGUAGCUUACCGGAUAAAAGCUACCCCGGGGAUAACAGGCUAGUCUUGUCCAAGAGUUCACAUCGACGACAAGGCUCGGCACCUCGAUGUCGGCUCAUCGCAUCCUGGGGCUGGAUCCGGUCCCAAGGGUUGGGCUGUUCGCCCAUUAAAGCGGUACGUGAGCUGGGUUCAGACCGUCGUGAGACAGGUCGGUCUCUAUCCGCUGUGGGCGUCGGGGGUUUGCGAGGAUCUGGCCCUAGUACGAGAGGACCGGGCUGGACGGAGCGCUCGUGUGUCAGUUAUGCCGCCAGGCGUACAGCUGAGUAGCGACCUCCGGAGCGGAGAACCGCUGAAAGCAUCUAAGCGGGAAACCGGCCUCAAGAUGAGACCCCCCACUGAUAAAACAGGUAAGACCGCUCGAAGACGACGAGUUGGAUAGGCGGGCGGUGAAGGGGCAGCAAUGUCUAGAGCCAACCCGUACUAAAGGUCGAGGGUUUUG
rnacentral:rRNA from 1 species